AUGGUCAUGAUAUUAAUCUAGAUUCAAGUUGAAUUUAACAUGGUUGUAGUCAAACAAGGUUUAUUCAAAAGUCACCGUAUUCAAAACUAUUACCAUUACAACACAUCCAUCCUGUUACAAAUGUUACAAAAGAUUUCAAUUUCUAUUCCAUUUGAGCCAAAGAUCCUAGAAUACCUAAUCUUUACCCAACUUUGUCUUUCAUCUUUUGUCCUUGCAUCAUCAUCAAUUUUGUAA